CCACAGUUCAUUUUUCUUUUGCCCCCAGUGGAUCUCCCUGAUAGAGUGGCCUUCCUUAAACAUAACGGUGAUGUCACCAUUCCCUCCUCAUCAGUGACUCCGAGUGGGUUGUCUCACUGUCCAUAUGUAGUGAUUCAUGUUAGGAUAAAAAUCAGAACCUUUUAUGAAGACUGACCCGUUACAUCGAUAAGCUGGCCCACUGGCCACGCCUACAACUUUUUUCUUAUCACUUUUUCUGACAUCUGCAGUAUCAUCUAUACCCCUGCACCUCCACACUGUUGCGAAUCAUGUUUUAUCUGCCUGAAAUGCUCUUUUACAACUCUGUGCCCGUGCUCCCCUCCCUGUCAUUUUUAUCCUCUUAUUUCACCCCUUUGAUUCUUCACGUUUUUAGAUUACCACUGGGGCAGGCAGAAUAAUGGCCCUCCAAGGAUGUUCAACUACUAACCCUUGAAACCUAUUAUUACAGGCAGACCUUGGAGAUACUGAGGAUUUGCUUACAGACCACUGCAAUAAAGCAAAUAUCUCAAUAAAGCAAGUCACACAAAUGUUUUGGUUUCCCAGUGCAUAUAAGAGUCAUGUUUACACUAUACUAUAGUCUAUUAGGUAUGCAACAGCAUUGUGUCUAAAAAAAAGUACAUUCUUUAAUUAAAAAUUCUUCAUUGCUAGAAAAUGCUAAGCAUCGUCUGACAAGGCAAGGUUGCCAAAAGCCUUCAUUCUGUAAGAAACACAGUAUCUGUGACGCACAAUACAGCAAAGUGCAAUGAAACAAAGUAUGACUGUAUGUGUGAUGGUUAAUUUUAUGUGUCAACGAGGCUAAGUAUUUGGUCAAAUAUUAUUCUAUAUAUUGUGAAGGUAAUUUUAAUAUGAAAUUGACAUUUAAAUCAGUAGACUUUGACUACCAUCUUUCAUGUGAGUAGGCCCUAAUGAAAAAACAAACAAACUGAACUCCACCAAUGAAGAGAGGAAAAAAAGUGUAUGCAUGUGUGUGUAUACACACACCCCCCCCCACACACACAUUAUUGUGUUCUCUGGAGAACCUGGAAUAAAAUACUAUGUUAUCUAAGCUGACAAAGCAAAAGGAAUAUGGCAUAUGUGAUUAAAUCAAUGAUCUUGUGUUGGAAAGAUUAUCCUGGAUCAUCUAGUAUAAUCACAAAGGAGGUGGGAGUGUCAGAGUUAGACAGAAGCCAAAGAUGCUACCUGGCUGACUUGGAAGAUGGAGGAAGGGGUAACAAGCUAAGGAAUUCAAGAGGCCCCUGGAAGCUGUGAAGGGCAAAGAGAUAGAUUUUCCCCUAGAGUCUCCAGAAGAAUACAGCCUUGCCAACACCAUGAUUUUAAUCAAAUGAAAUCUAUUUCAGAUUUCUGACAUCCAGAUCUAUAAGAUAUUUGUGUUGUUUUAAGUCACCGUGGCAUUUUUGUUAUAGCAGCAAUAAGAAGCUAAUACAGAUUUUGGUGAAAGAAUUCUGAGGCACAUGACAGAAUAUGUCUAGAUUGUCUUGAACAGACUGUCAGUAUAAAUGUGAACAUUAACAACUCUUCUGGGGAACACUCAGAAUAAAGUGAAAAUCAUGGUAGAGAAAACCUAUAUUGUCUUAAUGAACACAUAAAUCACGAUAAACACACUGUUGGUGGAAAUAUGGGCAUUAAAGAUAUUUCUGGUGAGGGAUCAGGAGAAAAUGAGGAGAAAUGGGAAACUGGAGGAAAGAAGAGCCUUGUUAUAUGGUGGCAGAAGGCUGAGCUGAAUUGCAUCCUACAGCUGCGAGGAAAGCAGGACCUGUAGAACCUUUCAGACAGGCAAAAAUUCAUCUGAAAGAAGGUGCCUGGAAGAAUCUUUCCAGUAGAGUUUGUAGACCCUCUGUGGUUAAGAAUUUUUUGCAGGUUUUCAUUUUUGAUUGCUUUAUUACAUAAAACUGAUUAGUGUUUUUUAAAUAAAUUUUCCCCAUUGAUAACCACACCAUACUCUUUAUCUGAACCAUAAAUUUUAAACAGAACAUGAGUGUCAUCCUGAGAGAAACAGUAAAUGCUUAGCACUUCCAAUUAUUAAUGAUAAAGCUUUUGAGUGUCAUUUGUAUCCAACCUUUAUGUUACUAGCAAUAAUAAGUCACUCAUGUUUUUUGGUUAAAAUAAUGAAUUGGUUUUUCUUCCCCAAGAUACAAAUGAAUUUGUUUUUAUUCUUCACUAACUUCCACAUCAUCGAAAGACAGUCCAGGCUUUUCUAAAUUUUGCAUAGUAUCAGAAAAAUGUCUAGACUGUAGUGCAUUAUUAAUGUCAUUUUUUCUCUCCUAUAGAUUCAGAGGAUUUAUUUAAACUCAAAAAUACUAGUCACAGCAUAAUUCAAGGAUGAUGAUGGAUUUAUGCUUCACCUAAAGCCCAAAGUGUUUCAUAAACAAUCUUUGGAGCAGCCUUGCAACUAAUCAUGAUUUAGACCAACUGGAAGGCAGUGUUGAGUGUUUCACAGAUGCUACCAAGGUGGAAAUCCAAUUCCCCAGCAGUCUCUGUGGCCACCCAAGUCAGUCAGCUUAAACCAAUGGAAUCAUAACUUUCAUUGUUAGUUAACUUUGCUGCGUACUACAGUUACUAUUGCAUUAGUUACCAAAUGAUAUGAACAAAUCUCAGUUCAAAACAAAACUAAACAGGGUGGCCAUUUCAGUACUGAAAUGGUAAAAUGAAUUUUUGAGAACUUAAAAACCUAGAUAGAAUACAGGUGGAAGCAGGCAGAUGUAGGUGGCUAUUUUAACAGUUCAGGCAAAUAAGAAAGGAAAUCUAUUCUGUGUGAGAUGGUGGUAAGUGUUAGAGAGAAAAAGGGAAGCAAGAGUGCUGGGAGACAUUGCGUUUGGAGUUCCUGUUUCAUGUGGGAUAGUCGGGGAAGGCUUCCAAAAAACAGUCAGCAGCAGUCAUUCUUUCGUGAUAAUUUUCAGAGCUAUCAACUCACAACGUGUGCACUUCACUGCGUGUGUUUGUUAUACUUCAAAAAUGCUUUUAAAAAUUCAGUCAUCCUCCACAAUGUUUCAACUGUUUCACUUGUUUUAAAAUUUUUACUUAAAACAUAAAAUUCAUAACUUUGAUGUCAUUUCUAUGGUUUACGUGGAAUCUCUGGACUGGAAAGGACAUUAUCUGAAAUAAUAAGUCUAGUUUUAUUAUUUAUGACUGAGAAAAACGGGAUCAUUGAGAACUCUGAAAACUGUAUUAGAUCUUCGUGCAGAUGGUACAGUCUACUGCUAAAGAGAGAGACUGGAGUUUCAGCCAAGACUCAAGAAAUUUUCCAGAUGUUUUAGAUGGUGCUGUCUCCAAAUAAAAGCAUCUCUGGAUCAUGCAA